AGUAAAUAGAUACCCUGGUAGUCCACGCCGUAAACGAUGAGUACUAGGUGUAGGAGGUAUCGACUCCUUCUGUGCCGCAGUUAAACACAAUAGGUACUCCGCCUGGGAAGUACGGUCGCAAGAUUAAAACUCAAAGGAAUUGACGGGGGCCCGGCACAAGCAGCGGAGCAUGUGGUUUAAUUUACGAAGCAACGCGAAGAACCUUACCUAGACUUGACAUCUCCUGAAUAGUGUAGAGAUACAUGAAGCCCUUCCGGGGUCGAGGAAGGACAGGUGGUGCAUGGUUGUCGUCAGCUCGUGUCGUGAGAUGUUGGGUUAAGUCCCGCAACGAGCGCAACCCUUAUUACUAGUUGCUACCAUUAAGUUGAGCACUCUAGUGAGACUGCCCGGGGUUAACCC
rnacentral:rRNA from 1 species